rnacentral:rRNA from 1 species
GACGAACGCUGGCGGCGUGCUUAACACAUGCAAGUCAAUGCAGAAAGUACCUUCGGGUGCGAGUAAACUGGCGAACGGGUGAGUAACGUGUAGGUAAUUUUCCUUUAAGUGGGGUAUAGCCAGGCGAAAGCCUGAUUAACACCGCAUACAAUCAUGAUUCGAUGGAGUUAUGAUAAAAGAUGGGUUCCUUCGGGACCAUUGCUUAAAGAUAAGCCUGCAUCUGAUUAGUUAGUUGGUAGGGUAACGGCCUACCAAGACCACGAUCAGUAGCUGUUCUAAGAGGAAGAUCAGCCACAUUGGGACUGAGAUACGGCCCAGACUCCUACGGGAGGCAGCAGUGAGGAAUUUUGCGCAAUGGGUGAAAUCCUGACGCAGCAACGCCGCGUGACCGAUUGAAGCUUUUAGGAGUGUAAAGGUCUGUCGCGAGGGAAGAAAAUAACCGAGAAGAAAAGUUCGGUAGUUGACGGUACCUCGCAAGCAAGCUCCGGCUAACUUCGUGCCAGCAGCCGCGGUAAUACGAGGGGAGCAAGCGUUGUCCGAAAUAACUGGGCGUAAAGGGUACGUAGGCUUUUUUGUAUGUUUUCGGUGAAAGUCACAGGCUUAACUUGUGAAUUGCCGGAAAAACUGCAGAGAUUGAAUCCGAAAGGGGAAAGCAGAAUUCCUGGUGUAGCGGUGAAAUGCGUAGGUAUCAGGAGGAAUACCAGUGGCGAAGGCGGCUUUCUGGUUCGGAAUUGACGCUGAUGUACUAAAGCGUGGGUAGCAAACAGGAUUAGAUACCCUGGUAGUCCACGCUGUAAACGAUGAUCACUCGUUGUUGGCAAUACAUCGUCAGCGACUGAGCGAAAGCAUUAAGUGAUCCACCUGGGGAGUACGUUGGCAACGAUGAAACUCAAAGGAAUUGACGGGGGCCCGCACAAGCGGUGGAACAUGUGGUUUAAUUCGAUGAUACGCGAGGAACCUUACCUGGGCUUAAAUGUAGACUGCAUGUGGUGGAAACAUCACUUUCCUUCGGGACCGUCUACAAGGUGCUGCAUGGUUGUCGUCAGCUCGUGCCGUGAGGUGUCGGGUUAAGUCCCAUAACGAGCGCAACCCCUAUUGUUAGUUGCUAACAGGUAAUGCUGAGGACUCUAGCGAAACUGCCGGUGUAAACCGAGAGGAAGGUGGGGAUGACGUCAAAUCAGCACGGCCCUUAUGUCCAGGGCUACACACGUGUUACAAUGGUUGGUACAGAGGGCAGCUACCGGGCGACCGGAUGCUAAUCUCGAAAGCCAAUCUCAGUUCGGAUCGGAGUCUGCAACUCGACUUCGUGAAGCUGGAAUCGCUAGUAAUCGCGCAUCAGCCACGGCGCGGUGAAUACGUUCCCGGG